AAAGUGUCAAGCUUAAAGCUGGAAAAGUCAGUUUUUCAAAAAGACCAGCGCUCUCAAAAUGCCUCAUCCAGCAUGGCUGUGCUGGCUGGAGCGACUUGAGAAACUGCAAGUUGCUUCUGGAGUGAGAGAAUUGGUCAUCUGCAAGGACGUUGCCCAGGGGACACCCAGAUGUUUUGAUGUUUUUACCAUCCUUGUGGGAGGCUUCUCGCAUGGAGCUGGAGCUGAUAGAGGGAGCUCAUCCACGUUCUCUCCGGGUUGGAUUCGAACCUAGCAGCCUUCAGGUCAGCAACCCAACCUUC
rnacentral:lncRNA from 11 species